rnacentral:tRNA from 1 species
CCUGCGCGUGGGCGAGGUGGCAGGCGUCGUGGUACGCGACGGUCAGCGGGCGGCUGGCCGGGACCGGGGGUUCGAGUUCGCCGUUCUGGA